UACGUAGGGAGCAAGCGUUGUCCGGAAUCAUUGGGCGUAAAGCGCGCGUAGGCGGCCUCAUAAGUCCGUUGUGAAAGUCAAAGGCUCAACCUUUGAAAGCCGAUGGAUACUGUGAGGCUAGAGUCCGGAAGAGGCGAGUGGAAUUCCUGGUGUAGCGGUGAAAUGCGCAGAUAUCAGGAGGAACACCGGUGGCGAAGGCGGUUCUCUGGGAAUGUCCUGACGCUGAGGAGCGAAAGUGUGGGGAGCGAACAGG
rnacentral:rRNA from 1 species